rnacentral:rRNA from 1 species
UACGUAGGGGGCAAGCGUUGUCCGGAAUUAUUGGGCGUAAAGAGCUCGUAGGCGGCCUGUUGCGUCCGCUGUGAAAUCUCCAGGCUCAACCUGGAAAUGGCAUUGGAUACUAUUUAGCUUGAGGAGUGGAGGGGGGACUGGAAUUCUCGGUGUAGCAGUGAAAUGCGUAGAUAUCGAGAGGAACACCAGUGGCGAAGGCGAGUCCCUGGACACUUCCUGACACUGAGGCACGAAAGCUAGGGGAGCAAACAGG